rnacentral:lncRNA from 1 species
CUUUGUUAUCAGUGUAUUUUGAUGUGGAUGCCAAACAUUUCAACUAUCCCUGUCGGGCUAACCAGGAAGAGUUUGGCACGUUGCAGGAUGAACAAUUAAAAAGAGCUGGCAAUUGAUUGUUCUUAGAACUUUGCACUGUCUCAUUUCCAAAUUUUAAAGGAUUUGUUUCAUGACUGUAGCCUUAUUACGACUUGAGGGAGCAUUCAUUUGGAUGCCAGCAAUUAAAUGUGUUUUGUCAAGAAACUUAGGAUGGUUGAGUUUCACUUAUUGAAUAGUGAUGAGCUACAAAUUACUAAAUAUUUGACGAUUGUUGGCGAGAAGUUAAGAUCGAGAUUUGAGCUAAGUUGGGCGCCAAAAGGAGUUAAUAAAGCCAACCAAUUGCUUGUUGGAACCAUGAAGCAUAAAAGAGUUGAAGUCGUCAAGCCAAAGGUUAAGCGUUGUGUUGGGAGUGACGUCCAAAACAUUUGGCAUCGACCUGUUGAAGACAACUGAAGAAUGAAGCAAGCUGGACAAAAAACUCAUGUUCAAGUUAUGAAAUUAAUAGGGGUUGAAAACAUCAAGAAUUCAAAGCUGUUGAGGGGAGACAAAACAUGUUGGACCGGUGUGUCAACCAAUGGAAGUGUAACAGAAGCUGAAGACUGGAGCUGGAGUGAACAAAAAAUUCGGCACUGAAUUUUUAUUAUUUUCGCGAGUUUCCCUUUCUAUUUAGAACUCUAAUCUUUUAAUAUUUCUACCUUAUUUUUGCACGAAUUUUCCUUUUUAAAAUUAGGCUUUAGAGUUUCAUAUA